GAGUUUGAUCGUGGCUCAGAGCGAACGCUGGCGGCAGGCCUAACACAUGCAAGUCGAGCGGAUGUAGCAAUACAUCAGCGGCAGACGGGAGAGUAACACGUGGGAACGUGCCCUUUGGUUCGGAAUAACUCGGCGAAAGCCGUGCUAAUACCGGAUAAGACCUUACGGGGAAAGAUUUAUCGCCAUUGGAGCGGCCCGCGUCUGAUUAGCUAGUUGGUGAGGUAAUGGCUCACCAAGGCGACGAUCAGUAGCUGGUCUGAGAGGAUGAUCAGCCUCACUGGGACUGAGACACGGCCCAGACUCCUACGGGAGGCAGCAGUGGGGAAUAUUGGACAAUGGGCGCAAGCCUGAUCCAGCCAUGCCGCGUGGAUGAUGAAGGCCUUAGGGUUGUAAAGUCCUUUUAACGGGGAGGUAAUGACGGUACCCGUAGGAUAAGCCCCGGCUAACUUCGUGCCAGCCGCCGCCGUAAC
rnacentral:rRNA from 1 species